rnacentral:tRNA from 1 species
GCGCUCAUAGCUCAGCUGGAUAGAGCACUUGGCUACGAACUAAGGGGUCGGGAGUUCGAAUCUCUCUGAGCCUG